rnacentral:rRNA from 1 species
UACGUAGGGUGCAAGCGUUAAUCGGAAUUACUGGGCGUAAAGCGUGCGCAGGCGGUUUUGUAAGCCAGAUGUGAAAUCCCCGGGCUUAACCUGGGAAUGGCAUUUGGGACUGCAAGGCUGGAGUGCGGCAGAGGAGACUAGAAUUCCUGGUGUAGCAGUGAAAUGCGUAGAUAUCAGGAGGAACACCGGUGGCGAAGGCAGGUCUCUGGGCCAUUACUGACACUGAGAAGCGAAAGCAUGGGGAGCGAACAGG